rnacentral:lncRNA from 1 species
GAGGAGCUGGGCCGGAGACGCCUGAUCUACUGCAGGUACGUGAACAGGGUUGCCGGUUGACACGCCGACCUCCUCCAUCAGCCUCUCUUGGCCCCGCUCCAGCUCCGGCCUCCUCCAUCAGCCUCUCUUGGCCCCGCUCCAGCUCCGGCACCUCGCUUGCCGCCUCCUGCGACGCUGGUGUUCAGCUCGCCUGCGAGGUGUUCUAUCAAUUGACCAAACCGAGCCAAGUCUGAGCCUGGGCAAUGGUCACGUAAUUUCCUUCCUCAAGUAGUCCAGUACUACACCAGAAGCAACGUCGGCCGAACAUGCGAAGAGGAAGAGGCCACAAAGGAUUCUUGCGUCCCAAAUGAACAUGUUUAUUUUUGCCAAUUCAUGACCCAUCAUUACAUGACUCACGGUGUCCAGUCGACUCAGCUCACAGUGAUUGAUGAUUGAUCAAUAGCAACACGAUUUGAUUCUCAAUUUACAAGUUGAUUUCGCUGCUAUGCAUUGAAUUAAAUCUGAUUUUUGAUAUAUUGGUUUAGUCAGUUUCAGGUUCACGGCCAGGAUGGUGGAUUCGUACUUCGAUGGCCAGACUAUCCAUGUCAAGCGGCGGCAUGAGAAGAGCUCCGGCGAGGUCGUCAUGUGCCGGUGCAUCUCACCUUCAAGCACAUGCUGCAGAGUCCGGCUGGUGUGGCUCCGUUCCCUCUCAGUUCUGUUCUUCUUUACUCUCCCUUGUUUAUUGUUCGCCUUAAUCUUGUUUUGUUUUGUCGGUUCAUGCAGUUCAUUAGUUCUUUCUUUGCUGGAUGUUUGGCGCGCUGGCGCUGAUGCUGCAUGGAAGCAUUGGAAGCGGAAAAAAAAAUUCACAUACCUUCCU